GACGGAAGGUGCAAGCGUUGCUCGGAAUCACUGGGCGUAAAGGGUGCGUAGGCGGCUUUCUAAGUCAGGGGUGAAAUCCUGGAGCUCAACUCCAGAACUGCCUUUGAUACUGGAAAGCUUGAGUUCGGGAGAGGUGAGUGGAACUGCGAGUGUAGAGGUGAAAUUCGUAGAUAUUCGCAAGAACACCAGUGGCGAAGGCGGCUCACUGGCCCGAUACUGACGCUGAGGCGCGAAGGCGUGGGGAGCGAACAGG
rnacentral:rRNA from 1 species